AUGAUUGUCACGCACAACGUCCAUCCAACCACGCCUGAAUCUGGGCCUUCCUUUGCUCAAACCAACAGACCAAGUUCUCCCAUUCGAAACUUGAAGGAUGACUUCACAGGAAUGCUUAAUACUGGGAGACGCUUAGGUGUUGCCUUUGUUGAAUGUGGCCCACACCAAUGGAUCCCACGUGGUUCUAAGUGUAAGCCAGAUUAUGAGGCGCAAUUCUUUAGCUCAGUACUACAUCUCAUGGUAAAAUUUAUACUGGCUCCAUUUGUGAUUGCGUUUUUUAUCUAUACAUGGCGGAAAAGACAUUCGUCACUGUAUAGCACGAUCGAAAAUUUUAUGCAUGAUGAUAACAAUUUUUCACCGAUAAGGUACUCUUACUUGGACAUUAAAAAGAUGUCUAACAAAUUCAAGAAUAAGUUAAGGUGAAGGAGGCUUUGGCAUGGUAUUUAAAGGAAAAUUACGCAGCGGCCAUUUUGGAGCAAUUAAGAUGUUGAGCAAGUCCAAAGCUAAUGGGGAAGAUUUCAUUAGUGAGGUAGCUACCAUUGGAAGGAUUCACCAUGUUAAUGUGGUGCAACUUGUUGGUUAUUGUGUUGAGGGUUCAAAGCGCGCUUUAGUAUAUGAGUUCAUGCAAAAUGGAUCUCUUGAUAAAUACAUUUAUUCCAAAGAAGGGAAUAACUUGCUAAGGUACAAGAAAAUGUAUGAUAUUAAACUUGGAGUAGCUCGAGGGAUUGAAUAUCUACAUCAAGGUUGUGACAUGCAAAUUUUACAUUUUGAUAUCAAGCCUCAUAACAUCCUUCUUGAUGAAAAUUUCGUUCCAAAGAUUUCUGACUCUGGGCUUGCGAAAUUAUAUCCUACGGUUAACAGUAUUGUCUCGUUAACGGCAGCAAGGGGAACAAUGGGUUACAUGGCUCCUGAGUUGUUCUACAAAAAUAUUGGUGGCGUCUCAUACAAAGCUGAUGUCUAUAGCUUUGGAAUGCUGUUGAUGGAAAUGGGAAGCAAACGAAAGAAUUUAAAUGCACGUGCAGAGCAUUCAAGCCAAAUUUACUUCCCCUCAUGGGUGUACGAUCAGUAUAAGGAGGGAAAGGAGCUGGAGAUGGAGGAUAUAACAGAGGAAGAAAAGAAAAUAGUAAGAAAGAUGGUUAUAACUGCCUUGUGGUGUAUUCAAAUGAAGCCAAGUGAUCGUCCGGCAAUGAACGAAGUUAUAAAGAUGCUCGAAGGAGAUGUUGAAAGCCUACAAAUGCCUCCUAAGCCUUUUCUGUGCCCUCAAGAGAUGUCUGUAGAUAUUCAUGAUAAUUUGAACCAUACAUGUUCUAACAUGGAGGUGACGUGUACUCUGUCACCUAGGUCAUGUAGGAAUUAUUGGUGUGAAAGGAAAGUAAGUCAAUGGUCCACAAGUCACGCCAACAAGUCCAAAGCUAAUGAGCAAGACUUCAUCCGUGAGGUAGCUACCAUUGGGAGGAUUCACCAUGUUAAUGUGGUACAACUUGUUGGCUACUGUGUUGAAGGAUCAAAUCAUGGUCUAGUGUACAAUUUUAUGCCUAAUGGCUCUCUUGAUAAAUACAUUUAUCCAAAAGAUGGAACACAUAUUGAGAUGCAGUCGUAUAUUGGGAUUGAAUAUCUGCAUGAAGGUUGUGACAUGCAAAUUCUGCAUUUCUAUAUCAAGCCUCACAACAUUCUUCUUGAUGAGAAUUUCAACCCAAAGAUUUCCAACAGAUAAUAGCGUUGUCUCUAUGACGGCAGCUAGGGGAACAAUGGGAUAUAUGGCUCCUGAGUUGUUCUACAAAAAUCUUGGAGGUGUUUCGUACAAAGCCGAUGUCUACAGUUUUGGAAUGUUGUUGAUGGAAAUGGGAAAGGACUUGGAGAUGGGUGAUGUCAAUGAAGAUGAAAUGAAAAUAAUAAGAAAGAUGGUCAUAAUAGCCUUAUGGUGUAUACAAUUGAAACCAAGCGAUCGUCCAUCAAUGAAAAAACUCACAGAGAUGCUUGAAAGGCAUGUUGAAUACCUACAGAUGCCUCCCAAGCCUUUUAUCUGUCCACAACGGAUGCCGAUAAGCGAUCAUCAAAAUAUUCCAAAUCCGGCAUGUUCUAACUUGGAGCUAACAUGGAUCUUUUCAGCUAGGUCAUGAUCAAUCAAAUAGGCAUGGACUCUGUUGUUUUCUUUGUUUUUUUUUGAAACCCAAGACUCUGUUAACUAGCUUGGUGAUGAUCAACUAGUAUGGAAUCUGCCGUUUUGAACAAAAAAGAAACAGAGCGUAUCACAUUUAUAACAGACUUGUUUCGUACAAAGCCGAAAAUGGUGUUCAGAGUGUCAGAGUAAUGUGGUACAACUUUUUGUUUUCCAAGUUUGAAGUGACAUGAAUCAGUGUGUGCACGCCCAAACCACAAUGAUGUGAGCUUAAAUUGACCCCAUUUUAAAAUUUACCUUCACCAGUUGCUUCUGUUUUUCAUCGAAGACUCUCCGACGGUCAGCUCAAUUGAAACUGUGUCUAUUAAUUGACCUUCGUGAUGAAAUCUUUCUAAUGGAAGAGGCCAAAGGUCAUGGAAGCUAGAGAACUGCAAAACAAGGAAUCAAAAAACAAAGUUCAAUCUUUCCCCCUAUUUCAUUACCCAAGAAAAAAACAAAAACAAAGUUCAAUGGUUGCCUUUGUAGGCAUUUUAGAAAGUAGUCGCUGAUGAUUCAACAUCCCAACCCCACCAACCUCUCAAAAUUAAUCUCUCAAUCAACUGGGGUUGCACGGGGAGGGCCGAGAUUUUUUAAACACUUGUAUGUUAGGCUUCCAUCUCCAACGCAAGAUACUCUCUAAAAUACUAGAAGAACAAUAUUUCUGCAAGACACAUUGUUGGG